UACGUAGGGUGCAAGCGUUGUCCGGAAUUAUUGGGCGUAAAGAGCUCGUAGGCGGUUCGUCGCGUCGGCUGUGAAAACCUGAGGCUCAACCUCAGGCCUGCAGUCGAUACGGGCGGACUUGAGUACUGCAGGGGAGACUGGAAUUCCUGGUGUAGCGGUGAAAUGCGCAGAUAUCAGGAGGAACACCGGUGGCGAAGGCGGGUCUCUGGGCAGUAACUGACGCUGAGGAGCGAAAGCGUGGGGAGCGAGCAGG
rnacentral:rRNA from 1 species